rnacentral:lncRNA from 1 species
GAAGGGGUAGAGACGGGUGCACUGUGCAGAGGGAAUUUUUUUUUCAGCGCCGGAUCCUGCAGAGGGGCGAGGCGCUCUAUUUUGUUUUGUGGAAAUCGGCAAUUAUUUCUAGUUGGAUCAAUGGGCAUAAUUUCUGAGAGGUCGGGUGGGUCUGCGUAAGCUUCUACGCGCAUUUGGAAACCCAUUGGGUUUUGAGUUACGAAACCGCACAGACUUUCUCCCACCCCAGCGGCUCCGGGCAAUAAGCUAGGCCUGCCCUACACGGAGCAAGCGAGCGUCAGGCCUUCCCGAGGAAGCAUGACCCGGUUCUGGUCGCAGUCCACCGAGGAUUGGAGCGGCAGUGACACGGGCGGCCCUGCAGCGGUAGAGCCAAGGUCAGGCCCCAAGGGACAGCGGGGCAGCAGCCUGCAGCACAGAUGCAGGACACCAGCGUGCAUCCCUGUUCUCUUCCCCAAGAGUCCAGGCUGCCCGGCCUGGUGCUCCAGCUUUGCUUUCGUUUCCCAGGCGAACGAGCCCCAAAUUCACGUUUUCACCCAAGAAUGCAAUCCAGAAUCCUUGUCCCCGUAUUCGAGUAGGGUGACCAGGAGAACCGAGGUGGGGGCAGGAAACCCAGACCGAGGGUGCCCCGCGAGUGGGCCGAGUUCCUUUCACUUUCCCCCAUUGCUCCGCAAUUUCGGGUGCAACUACCUGGGCCAAGCCCAGCUUCAGAGACUGGCCCCGUGCUCUGGAGAAAGCAACCACCACGGGAAGAGACUGCAGCCUCAGCGUCUCCUUGUCCGCUUCACCCUCAUCCUCUGUGCGGGAGAGGGCAGCAACAUACACGCCUGGCACCUUCCUUCUUUCCAAGAGUUGCGCUUUCCUAACCCUGCUCCCCGCUGGUUUUUCUCAUACUUCCUUGCCCCCUUUUGCAAAAUUUCCGCCUUGAUCUUAAAUACCUCGAAAGAUAGGAAGACCCGGAAUUCUAUUAAAACAAAACAAAACGUAAUGA